rnacentral:rRNA from 1 species
CGGACGGGUGAGUAACACGUGGAUAACCUACCUAUAAGACUGGGAUAACUUCGGGAAACCGGAGCUAAUACCGGAUAAUAUAUUGAACCGUAUGGCUCAAUAGUGAAAGACGGUUUUGCUGUCACUUAUAGAUGGAUCCGCGCCGCAUUAGCUAGUUGGUAAGGUAACGGCUUACCAAGGCAACGAUGCGUAGCCGACCUGAGAGGGUGAUCGGCACACUGGAACUGAGACACGGUCCAG